rnacentral:rRNA from 1 species
AGCUGGGUUCAGAACGUCGUGAGACAGUUCGGUCCCUAUCCGGCGCGGGCGGAGGAUAUUUGAGAGGAGCUGCCCCUAGUACGAGAGGACCGGGGUGGACGGACCACUGGUGUAUCAGCUGUCUACCAAAGGCAUAGCUGAGUAGCCAAGUCUGGACGGGAUAAACGCUGAAGGCAUCUAAGCGUGAAGCCCCCCUCAAGAUGAGAUAUCCCCUCCAUAAGGAGAUAAGAUCCCUUAAAGACGAUAAGGUAGAUAGGUUCAAGGUGUAAGUGUGGUAACACACUCAGCUGAUGAAUACUAAUAGAUCGAAGGUUUAUUCU